rnacentral:rRNA from 1 species
GGAUGCGAUCAUACUGGCACUAAAGCACCGGAUCCCAUCUGAACUCCGAAGUUAAGCGUGCUUGGACGAGAGUAGUACUAGGAUGGGUGACCUCCUGGGAAGUCCUCGUGUUGCAUUCC